CGGAACGGGUGAGUAACGCGUGAGGAACCUGCCUCAAAGAGGGGACGAACAGUUGGAAACGACUGCUAAUACCGCAUAAGCCCACGGCUCGGCAUCGAGCAGAGGGAAAAGGAGCAAUCCGCUUUGAGAUGGCCUCGCGUCCGAUUAGCUAGUUGGUGAGGUAACGGCCCACCAAGGCGACGAUCGGUAGCCGGACUGGGAGGUUGAACGGCCACAUUGGGACUGAGACACGGCCCAG
rnacentral:rRNA from 1 species